ACGGGUGAGUAACACGUGGGUAACCUGCCUGUAAGACUGGGAUAACUCCGGGAAACCGGAGCUAAUACCGGAUAGUUCCUUGAACCGCAUGGUUCAAGGAUGAAAGACGGUUUCGGCUGUCACUUACAGAUGGACCCGCGGCGCAUUAGCUAGUUGGUGAGGUAACGGCUCACCAAGGCGACGAUGCGUAGCCGACCUGAGAGGGUGAUCGGCCACACUGGGACUGAGACACGGCCCAGACUCCUACGGGAGGCAGCAGUAGGGAAUCUUCCGCAAUGGACGAAAGUCUGACGGAGCAACGCCGCGUGAGUGAUGAAGGUUUUCGGAUCGUAAAGCUCUGUUGUUAGGGAAGAACAAGUGCAAGAGUAACUGCUUGCACCUUGACGGUACCUAACCAGAAAGCCACGGCUAACUACGUGCC
rnacentral:rRNA from 1 species